CUCGAGGACGAACGCUGGCGGCGUGCUUAACACAUGCAAGUCGAACGAGAGGAGAAGGAAGCUUGCUUCUUUCAAAUCUAGUGGCAAACGGGUGAGUAACGCGUAAGCAACCUGCCCUUCAGAUGGGGGACAACAGCUGGAAACGGCUGCUAAUACCGAAUACGUUCUUUUUGUCGCAUGGCAGAGGGAAGAAAGGGAGGCUCUUCGGAGCUUUCGCUGAAGGAGGGGCUUGCGUCUGAUUAGCUAGUUGGAGGGGUAACGGCCCACCAAGGCGACGAUCAGUAGCCGGUCUGAGAGGAUGAACGGCCACAUUGGGACUGAGACACGGCCCAGACUCCUACGGGAGGCAGCAGUGGGGAAUCUUCCGCAAUGGACGAAAGUCUGACGGAGCAACGCCGCGUGAACGAUGACGGCCUUCGGGUUGUAAAGUUCUGUUAUACGGGACGAAUGGCGUAGCGGUCAAUACCCGUUACGAGUGACGGUACCGUAAGAGAAAGCCACGGCUAACUACGUG
rnacentral:rRNA from 1 species